rnacentral:rRNA from 1 species
CCUACGGGAGGCAGCAGUGAGGAAUAUUGGUCAAUGGGCGGAAGCCUGAACCAGCCAAGUCGCGUGAGGGAUGACUGCCCUACGGGUUGUAAACUUCUUUUAUAAAGGAAUAAAAAAUGGCACGUGUGGCUUGAUGCAUGUACUUUAUGAAUAAGCAUCGGCUAACUCCGUACCAGAAGCCGCGGUAAUACGGAGGAUGCGAGCGUUAUCCGGAUUUAUGGGGUUUAAAGGGUGCGUAGAGGGGUUGUUAAGUUAGUUGUAAAACGUGGGGGCUACACCUAGAAUUGCCAUGGAUACUGUGAGACGCGAGUGCAGACGAGGAAGGCGGAAUGAGUUGAGUAGCGGGGAAAUGCUUAGAUAUAACUUAGAACUCCGAUGGCGAAGGCGGCUUACCGGUCUGCAACUGACGCUGAGGCUCGAGAGCGUGGGUAGCAAACAGGAUUAGAUACCCGAGUAGUC